GCCCUUUUGACUUCUGCAAUGAGAUGAGUAGUAUUUUUCAUUCAGCACCCAGUCUCUGAACAUCAACCAUGUACCAAGCAUGAAGGAUUCAGAGAUGACUAGGAUCUGGUCCUGGCCUUUGCUUCCUAAAAGGCCAAACGACUUUCCUUUGGCGGCAUUACGGUGAGGGGUAAGGACGGACACGCGUGGGAACUACAGAAGAUGAGGCCUUAACACUCCUCUGGGCAUAAAAAUCUCCGGAGGAAUGAGAGGCCAAGGAAUCUGCAUUUUAAUGUUCCAGCUGAUUGUGAUGCAAUCGUCCUCCAUCCACAGUUUCAGGAAUGCUAGAGGAGUCGAACCGCUGGAGCGCUGGUGUUGAAAGACACAACCACUUCCCACCACAUGGCCUCUAUGCUGAUGUUUCAGGGGAUCUGAUUUCCAUUUGGUAUCGUGCAAGCCCCAUCACUGCAAAGCCUGGAUCACUGGAGGUUGGCCACGUGGUCCUCGGCUUCCAAGUCCUGGAGCGACUGUCAUCUGUGCAGGCAGCUGCGGCCAGCCGAGUGGAGACCUCGCGCGCCUCGCGGAGAAGCCAGGCCCCAGCCCUUGAAUAAAGAGAUGUGAAGGAAAGACAGUGAUGCAGAGCCUGUGUCCUAGAGGCUGAGGACAGACCCAGUGGCAGGAAGGUACCCACAGGACCCCUGGCGGGAGGUGGGGGAUGACAGAGCCUGAAGGAAAGGAGAAACUGCACCUGCUGGGAGCAAUCGGGAGAGGCUUCCUGGAGGAGGCGCAUUCCGGAGGGCCUGGACUGGCAGGGGUACAAACAGGCGGGGGCGUCCAGAGCGCUCCUCGUGGAAUCUGCG
rnacentral:lncRNA from 1 species